rnacentral:rRNA from 1 species
UACGUAGGGUGCGAGCGUUGUCCGGAAUUAUUGGGCGUAAAGGGCUCGUCGGCGGUUUGUCGCGUCGGGAGUGAAAUCCACUGGCUUAACUGGUGGCUUGCUUUCGAUACGGGCAGACUGGAGGUAUGCAGGGGAGAACGGAAUUCCUGGUGUAGCGGUGAAAUGCGCAGAUAUCAGGAGGAACACCGGUGGCGAAGGCGGGUCUCUGGGCCGAUACUGACGCUGAGGAGCGAAAGCGUGGGGAGCGAACAGG